GCACUGGUGGUUUAGUGGUAUAAUGGUCCGUUGCCAUGAAUCGUGAACCUCAUGAUAUAAGCUCGGACCGACCCGAGUUCGACUCUCGGCCAGUGCA